UACGUAGGCAGCGAGCGUUGUUCGGAAUCACUGGGCGUAAAGGGCGCGUAGGCGGCUUGAUAAGGUUGCGGUGAAAGCCCGGGGCUCAACCCCGGGUCGGCCGUGGCAACUGUCGAGCUGGAGCACUGUAGAGGCAGGUGGAAUUCCGGGUGUAGCGGUGGAAUGCGUAGAGAUCCGGAAGAACACCGGUGGCGAAGGCGGCCUGCUGGGCAGUGGCUGACGCUGAGGCGCGACAGCGUGGGAGCAAACAGG
rnacentral:rRNA from 1 species